rnacentral:rRNA from 1 species
GACUCUCGACAACGGAUAUCUCGGCUUUCGUAUCGCUGAAGAACGUAGCGAAAUGCGAUACUUGGUGUGAAUUGCAUAAUCCAGUGAACCAUCGAGUCUUUGAACGCAAGUUGCGCCCGAAGCCUUUAGGCCGAGGGCACGUCUGCCUGGGUGUCA